GCAGGCCUAACACAUGCAAGUCGAGCGGAUGAGAAGAGCUUGCUCUUCGAUUCAGCGGCGGACGGGUGAGUAAUGCCUAGGAAUCUGCCUGGUAGUGGGGGACAACGUUUCGAAAGGAACGCUAAUACCGCAUACGUCCUACGGGAGAAAGCAGGGGACCUUCGGGCCUUGCGCUAUCAGAUGAGCCUAGGUCGGAUUAGCUAGUUGGUGAGGUAAUGGCUCACCAAGGCGACGAUCCGUAACUGGUCUGAGAGGAUGAUCAGUCACACUGGAACUGAGACACGGUCCAGACUCCUACGGGAGGCAGCAGUGGGGAAUAUUGGACAAUGGGCGAAAGCCUGAUCCAGCCAUGCCGCGUGUGUGAAGAAGGUCUUCGGAUUGUAAAGCACUUUAAGUUGGGAGGAAGGGCAUUAACCUAAUACGUUAGUGUUUUGACGUUACCGACAGAAUAAGCACCGGCUAACUCUGUGCCAGCAGCCGCGGUAAUACAGAGGGUGCAAGCGUUAAUCGGAAUUACUGGGCGUAAAGCGCGCGCAGGUGGUUUGUUAAGUUGAAUGUGAAAGCCCCGGGCUCAACCUGGGAACUGCAUCCAAAACUGGCAAGCUAGAGUACGGUAGAGGGUGGUGGAAUUUCCUGUGUAGCGGUGAAAUGCGUAGAUAUAGGAAGGAACACCAGUGGCGAAGGCGACCACCUGGACUGAUACUGACACUGAGGUGCGAAAGCGUGGGGAGCAAACAGGAU
rnacentral:rRNA from 1 species